UUGGAGGGCAAGUCUGGUGCCAGCAGCCGCGGUAAUUCCAGCUCCAAUAGCGUAUAUUAAAGUUGUUGCAGUUAAAAAGCUCGUAGUUGAAUUUCGGGAUCAGUACGCCGGUCGUGCCUUCGGUAUGCACUGGUGUCACUGGUUUCUCCCUUCUGAAGAACCAUCAUGCCAUUAAGUUGGUGUGGCGGGGAAUCAGGACUGUUACUUUGAAAAAAUUAGAAUGUUUAAAGCAGGCUCGCGCUUGAAUACAUUAGCAUGGAAUAAUGAAAUAGGACGUUUGACCCUAUUUUGUUGGUUUCUAGGAUCGACGUAAUGAUUAAUAGGGAUAGUUGGGGGCAUUAGUAUUCAAUUGUCAGAGGUGAAAUUCUUGGAUUUAUUGAAGACUAACUACUGCGAAAGCAUUUGCCAAGGAUGUUUUCAUUAAUCAAGAACGAAAGUUAGGGGAUCGAAGACGAUCAGAUACCGUCGUAGUCUUAACCAUAAACUAUGCCGACUAGGGAUCGGAUGAUGUUAAUUUUUUAAUGACUCAUUCGGCGCCUUACGGGAAAC
rnacentral:rRNA from 1 species